rnacentral:lncRNA from 10 species
UUGCCUCGGCCUUUGGCCUUGUCAGGUUACACUGAGAAGACAGCUAUCUAUGAAUCAGGAAGCAGAGCUUCACCAGAGCACGAAGAAGAGAAAACAGAAAACAUCCAUUGAAUCCUCUGCCUCUGGUAAUGUAUGGCUCCCAGUAUGCCUCCUUCAAGAGCAUGACUGACCCAAUUACUAGUAUGAGCAAAAGGAAGAAACCCCCAAUUGAACUGAUGAAAAACAUAAACAGUGGCAAUGAAUUAUAACCCAGUUAAAACUGGAUCUGAAAGCUGAAUAAAAGACAUGCAAAAGCUAAAAAUGCCUAUGCCUAAUUAAAUCAUUAUUAAUA